rnacentral:snoRNA from 1 species
AACCCAAGGUGAGGGCAUCUUCGCAAAAGAUUCUUAUAUCUCUCCCAUGCAUCGUAAAGUGUUUCUAAAUCCAUCUGCACAAAAGAAGAAAUAUCAAUACGUAAUUU